GAAUGGCAUCGUGGAUUCGGCGUGAACAAAGGCGGUUUGUGGAUUCGGAUCGUUGGCUCAUGGAUUUGAGUGGCGUCGUGGAUUCGGUGUGAUUGAAGCUUCGUGGAUUCGAAGUGGAGGCGUUCGUGAGGGCGUGGACAACUCGGAGGGUAGCGCGAAGAUUCAUAGGAGGUUAAGAGAGGUUGAGUCCGUGGAGUCGGUAAU
rnacentral:lncRNA from 1 species